UCUCCGUUGGUGAACCAGCGGAGGGAUCAUUACAGGACUCGCAAGCCUCCUACACCCUUGUGAACUUAACACUAAGCACGUUGCUUCGGCGGGUGUCUCGGAGGGGGUUCCCCCUUCCCCAGAAGCUAAACCCGAAGGCAGCCCACUAUACUCUGUCUCUUUGCGUUCUCAUAUAGCUUACAACCAAACAACUUAAAACUUUCAACAACGGAUCUCUUGCUUCUGGCCUCGAUGAAGAACGCAGCAGAUCGGGUGAGCACACGUCUGCACGCCAGUCAC
rnacentral:misc_RNA from 1 species